GCUUGAAUGUGUUGUUAAUUUCACGUGCCAUCGGGGUGAAUAGAUAUGAAAAGGAAUAAUUUGAUGAAAACAUCCAUGCUUUAGUAUUAUAAUUAUUUUAACAAUGAUGAAGUUUUAUUAUGGGAAAAGAACCCUGUUUUCUCCUUCUCUGCCACUUUUUUUGGUAUUAUGGAAUAUUCACAAUUUGAGAGAAAUCACCCCUUCACGAGAGUCAUCUUAUCUACAACCCCUAAGCGAAUUGCUUUUCCCACUAUCUAAUUUAUCCAAAGAACAUCUCCCUGGUCAGUAUUACAAGCCAUUUUUAUUAUUUUCCUACACUUGUUUAUUAAGCAUUUUGCACGUCAUGUUUUGUCAACAGGAAAGGAAAAGUCACAUCCAAUUUUUUCUUUCUUUUUUUCCUCUCCUGCUCUAUUACAAGAUUGAAAACCUAAAGAACGAGAGUUCAAAUCUUGCUUGAAAUACAGACACAUUAUUCUCAACCAGAGAAAUUCUGGAUUUACGUUUCCUUUUCUCGUGGAAAAAUUACUUUAAUUCAAUUUUGGAAAAACCCACACAUUUUACAUGUGUGACCCGUAAAUUUGUCCCUUGAUUCCGUUUAGGUGUUUGGCAAGAGUUCACAGAUUUUGCCAACAACUCUCAAAGAACUGCUUUAACGGUCUAAUUGUUACAAUUUGGUAAUUAGCCAGAGUCGCAUUUCGAAGUGUGACCGAUAAGAUUUGGCAGAGUUAGCCAGUAUUUCAGAAAAUGGACUAGAGUCAUAGAGAUGCUACUAUUGUUCUCGUCUUCACGUUUAUACUUUUACUUUGGACUCCUGAGACGUACGGCUUUUGUGACUCUGCCACAACCUACUAUUCCCAACACAUCCCUGACAGCUGCAAGCAUCUUUGGGGAAGUGUCCCCUCAAGUUCCUGUUUCCAGUCAUUAAUGCAAAAGAAAGAAAAACGCUAGAGGCACUGAGAACCAUCCAACGCUUCAGCUGGCUUCAGCAAUUGCCACUUGCGCAAGACCCGUGUUUGUGAAAGCAACCCAAGAAUCUUUGAACAGGAUGUAAUCAACCUCCGAUCUGCUGAGAAACACUGCAAAAAUGACUUCCCCUGCCAAAAAUAAUAAUGUCGUUUAUGAGCAGCCCUUCCAUGUCUAAGGAAGAAGUAGCCCCACGUGUGAGUUUCUGCUGGCUUCAGAGGAGCAGGCGAAGAAAAGGGCAAAUCCUACCAACCCCAGCCUAAAAUACACGGCAUCAGAACGCACGGCAAGCUGUGGCUCAUUCCAAAGGUGCUGGCAAUAUCCGGGAAGACUCCUAUCCGCAAAAAUCCAAAGGAAUGAACCUGAAGACUGAAACUGCAGCCGCUGUGUGGUGACCCGGAGGGGACAAGGGAGAGGACAAAGGCCCAUGAGAACAUUCGUCAUUGUCUUCUGUGUUUAGCUAACUCUCCUUGAACUUCAAGGCUCGGAUCAGCUGCUCUUUCCUCCGGGACGAUGCUGGCCUUUCCAGUGUGGUUGAGGAUCUGGAGCACACAUUGUACAACUCUGCCUUCCCACGCUAUAACUCUAGGUCUUUUCAUCCUGCAUGUGCAAUUUUAACCAUGAUGGAAGGAGAAACUCUCUGGUCCAAAAAACUCAGCAUAUUUCUUAUCCACAGACACAGGUAAGUGGAAACAACCGUUCUUCCGUGUCGGCAUUAGUCAUUGUGAUCUGUUUUUAACUUGUUGCAGAGUCAAAUAACACUGGUACGUGUCAUAAAAUGUCUCCAAAUAUUCCUGGGCUUGUUCAUUUGCUUCAAGCACAUAAAGAGGCAAAUGUUAAAGCAAUGUGUUCUGAUCAAGAAACAGCUGGAAAUGGCAGCUGCCUGAUACGGAGCAAUCAAGAACGGAAGGUUUAUUUUGGACGAGAGGUGUUGUCCAACUGUGAGACUGAGUGAUUGCAGCUGAGAAUAAGUGCAAACACAAUCAAUAGUGGCUCCAGGUCUGAACUCAUUGAGAACCUGUCUUGUGUCACGUCUUUUUCUGCUGCCACAGUCACACUACAUCCGUAGACGCCGAUACUAUCCGUGGAGGAGGGAAAAAGUUCUUCAGUUUAUUCUUAUUCUUAAGGACAGCUUCUGAGCCGUCAUGAUUUGAAAUUACAAUGACCAAAAGGCUCCUUCAGAAAAAAAGAAACAAUAUAUUCCAAAGUCACAUUGUACAACGGACAGGUAAGAAUGCCUCAACUUUAAAUGGUCUUGGGUGGGCAUUGCCUCAAGAGCCAGCCAAGUUGUUCUCUGCUUUCUGGAGUUGUAUGACUAUGGGCGAAGUGAUUUCAUUCUUCCCGGUCCCUAACAGUGUUGUUAUUUUAUCGAUACAGACCGUAGAAGCAGCUCAAUAAAUAUUUUCUGUUGAACAAUC